GUUGGGCUGCGGGAGGCGGCCGGGCGGCCCCUAGCCUCGCCAGGGCGACCAAAACAAAGGCAGCAUCCGGGGCUGGGUGGAUGCAAACAACCAUGAAAGACUGGGUUCUCGCUCUCCCCGGCUCUGCUGCUGCCACUGCCGCUGCCGCUGCUCCUCCUCCUGCUGCCGCCGCCGGGAGGGCUCCGCUGUGAGGGGGAAAGCAGGGGCGCAGCUGCUGGGCGUGAAUCCCCGAAAGGUGAGAGCGAGAGAGCGAGCGGAGGGGGCGGGCAGGCCACGAAAAUGUCCUCUACCGUGGGGCCCCGCGGUCCUCGCCCACCCACGGUGCCUCCCCCCAUGCAAGAGCUGCCCGACCUGAGCCACCUGACCGAGGAAGAGAGGAACAUUAUCAUGGCAGUGAUGGACCGGCAGAAGGAAGAGGAGGAAAAAGAAGAAGCCAUGCUCAAGUAAGCCA
rnacentral:lncRNA from 1 species